rnacentral:misc_RNA from 1 species
GUGUAUGUUUUGUGUUUGUGUUCAGAUUAGCAUCGCGUGUAAAAGAAAAGACGCCGAUACAACCGGCCCGUCAAGGGCCCGCUAUCGACCCAACAAUCCACAGGUGUUUAAAAAGGCGGUCAUGCAGUGAUGAUCCUUCCGCAGGUUCACCUACGGAAA